CGGCGGACGGGUGAGUAAUGCCUAGGAAUCUGCCUGGUAGUGGGGGACAACGUUUCGAAAGGAACGCUAAUACCGCAUACGUCCUACGGGAGAAAGCAGGGGACCUUCGGGCCUUGCGCUAUCAGAUGAGCCUAGGUCGGAUUAGCUAGUUGGUGAGGUAAAGGCCCACCAAGGCGACGAUCCGUAGCUGGUCUGAGAGGAUGAUCAGCCACACUGGAACUGAGACACGGUCCAGACUCCUACGGGAGGCAGCAGCC
rnacentral:rRNA from 1 species